AGGUGAUAUGAACCGUUAUAACCGGCGAUUUCCGAAUGGGGAAACCCAGUGUGACUCGUCACACUAUCAUUAACUGAAUCCAUAGGUUAAUGAGGCGAACCGGGGGAACUGAAACAUCUAAGUACCCCGAGGAAAAGAAAUCAACCGAGAUUCCCCCAGUAGCGGCGAGCGAACGGGGAGGAGCCCAGAGCCUGAAUCAGCAUGUGUGUUAGUGGAAGCGUCUGGAAAGGCGCGCGAUACAGGGUGACA
rnacentral:rRNA from 1 species